GUACCUUCAAGCUUUGCUUGGUGUUGGGUGUUUGUCCUCCCCUUUUGUGUUUGGACUCGCCUUAAAACAAUUGGCAGCCAGUGUUUUGGUAUAGAAGCGCAGCACAAGUCGCGAUUCUAGCUAAGUAACGCUGACAUCCAGAAGUCUUUUUUAAC
rnacentral:misc_RNA from 1 species